GUCUGUGCUCCUGUCUGGGAUUGUCCCAGCCCAGGUGCAGCACCUUGCACUUCAGCUCGUUGAACCUCAUGUGGUUCAUGUGGGCCCACUUUUCGAGCUUGUCCAACUCCCUUUGGGUGGCAUCCUUUCCUCCUAUUUUAUCAACCACACCCCUCAGGUUGGUGACAGCUGCAAAUUUGCUGAAAGUGCACUCAAUUCCACUGACUACAUCAUUGAUAAAGAUAUUAAAGAGUACUGGUCUCAGGACAGACCCCUGAGGUACACCACCUGUCAGCAUCCUCCAUAUAUUUCUUUCCCUCCACCGCCCACUCCAGAAAGGAGCCUGAGGAGGAGGUGACUGUUCCACGCCAUUGAGGCAACCAUGAGAGAUAAAUAUUCCCCAACAUGUAUCUGCUCUUCAGAUGAGCAUAGUUGACAGCAGUACUGCAGCACAAAGAAAAAAGCUUCAAGAUAUCAAUUAACAUGAUGAGAUGAUAUGAAUCCAGACUGCUUGGUCUGUCAGCUGGUACCGUGUAGCCAUUCGGAAUAGUUUCUGUGUAUGAAAUUAUAUCUCGCACCUUGAGGAAGAAAAAGGAUAUAAUUGGAGUAAGAUAGCAGAAUGAAAUAGUAUGAUUGAAAAAUUACAAAGGACACAGCACAACUCACAGCAACGAAAGGCAAGCUGUGGCUGUUACAGAGAUAAAGCGCUAUCUGUCUCCCUGAUGAACAGUUUUUUAACAGCAACUUGGUUGAACCCAAAGACAGAAAUGCUCCACCUAAAGCUCAAGAUUGGUUAAAUCAACUUAAUUAAGGAAACCAAACUAUAUGGUACCAGUAACUGUGGUUUUGGUCAGCAGCAUUCACUGGGAAGACCUGCAACACUACACCUUCCUUCCAGUUGUAAUAACUAUUUUAGCAAACAGCCAGGGAAUUUGUUACUGGAUGGAUUUAAUUGCACAUUCCUUAAGGUUAACCACAGACAGCAUGUUUAUCUAACUGCAUGAUCUACAAGGUCUGUAAUCUGGAAGCAAAUGGAGCAUUUAUAGUACUUUAGGAAAAUGACAAGAAGAUCAGGGAGAGCCACUGUGAUUUUAGUAUCCAGGCACAAUGUGGAUUUGCAUUUCUUUGUUGAUUAUAACAAUUCAGUGCAGACAAGAACAAUGGUACCUGCACUUCAGCUGAUACCCCUCAGCAAUAGCUGCAGACAAGAGAAGUAAAAGCAGCCUUUUGUAUGGUGCUUUUAAAAAAGGUAAGUCACUUGCAGCUUUUGUCGUGUAAGUGAUAGCCCAUCAACAUGUUUUGCUAAACUGAAUGGACAGUCACUGAAACUCUUGGAGGACACAUGCAGAGCCAUCUGGAAAUUACCAUUCCUACUUUCUUGUGUGUAUAUAGCUUCUUUCUGGGAUAUGCUCUGGAUUUAUGAUUUGUGGUUCAUUGUACAUUCCCCAUCCUCUCCAGGAUGCAAUCCAGAUGUAGUGCUUACUAAAGUAGAUGUGCAAACUUUGGAGUUAGGAUACCUAUUGGUUUGUCCUUUCAGGCUUAUUACUAAGAUUCUUUUAAAUUUUUUAAAACUCUCUGCAAACCAUGUUAGGGCAACGUUAGGCAAAUGCCUUGUCCUAACUCCUGUGUCUUUCUUAUCCUUGCCAAUUUACUGAUGUUUACUCUACCUGAUGAUAAACUUUGACUAAAUGACAGUUUAAGAAUACUGCUUGUAAUUCAAGGAAAGUUUCGAUGUCAUCAUUACAGGUUCUAGGUUCUGCCUCUGUCUCAUCCUUUAUGUUUGUCACACCUUUUUGUUAUGUUGUGACCCAGCUUUCUUUUUACUGUAUUAAUCUUAGUUUUUAAAUUUCAAUAUUGGUGGAGCUGCUUGUAGAGAAAAGUGCUAUCCAGUGUGUCAAGUACAAUAAUCUGGCCUGAAAAUUCUUCUAUGCUUUCACUUUGGUAUAAUGAACCUUAUAAAUCCUACGCAGCUGACUAAACUAUUCAGAAUAAAUGACACCAAGGUCAGUUUUCAGCAAGAUGGCUUCCAGAAGUGAUGUGUUUAGAAAUGCUAAUUCUAUUUCCAUGCUUAAUUACACAAAAUAUUUCAGAAGUGAGAUGUUUAAAUAAAAAUGGGUGAAACUUUUUUCCUUGGAAAAGUGUGUCAGUGGCUUCAAUGCUUACUCAAAAUAGAAAAAAAGAUGUCUUUUAGUGUUCUGUAUAACAAAUUGCUUUCUUCUGUGGGAUAUAGAUGGCACAUGUACUGAGACACGACAUGUCAUAAUUCUUUUCCUGUAAUUUUGUUCUUGUGGUUUAGUCAUGGGAAGUAAACUGCUCUGUAAUUCCUA